rnacentral:lncRNA from 1 species
UUCCAGAUAGCAAAUGGACCGUGUUUGGUGAAAAGAGAAUGAAAAAAUACAACCACACACACUAACUUGUGUUAUUUAUAAUUAGCCUUUCAUAAAUUUUGGAUCAAUUAGAUCCACUUUAUUUGAUAAACUUUUAUUCAUAUUUAAAAUUGGAGAAAAUACAUAAUUUUCUAAUAAACUAUUCUCCUUCACAAAACUCAACUAUGAUUGGUUGAACUAGAUAAACCACAUCUCUUGCUCAAUGUAAAGUCAACGGUCUAACAAAAAAAC